AGAUCCAGUGGCGGCCCAUCCCUCGGCCAUGGCGAUGGGGCCGGCGGUCGCGCCCAUGGGGGCUGGCAGCGAACCACCCCGCGGCCGUUCCCGAGGGGACCGGUGGCGACCCGCCCCGAGGCCGCGCCCGAUGGGGCCGUCGACGGCCCGUCCAUUGCCGUGUGCCGAUGCGGGGCUCCGCGGCCGUCCCGCCCCUCGCGCUACACGCGCCUGCCGCAGCCGGCCCGCCCCUCGCUCUGCACGCCGCCUGCUGCUUGCCCCUCGCACUGCACGCCGCGGCCGGCCUGUCCCACACCAAUAGCUGCUUGCCUAGCUGCUAUAGAUAGAAGAGAGUGGUUGAGGAGGUCAUUUGCAAAGCUGGGUGGAAUUAGUGGAGAACAAUGUUGGAAGCAGUGAGCUUGAUGCUGAUGAGAUCAAUUAUGGAGCGAUGCCUGACGAACAAGCAUCUACAGAGGCACCUACAGAGGUUUCUCCCCCCUUGAAGAUAGGAUCAAGAACAAGAAGAGAACAAGAAAUUUCAGCGAGAAGAAGGAUAUUUUGUUGGCGUCGGCAUGGAUAGAAGUAAGCAUGGAUCCCGUUCAAUUUGUUGAUCAAACUCGCAGCACUUAUUGGCAGCGAAUUCAUGAGUACUACCACAAGCACAAGACCUUUGAAUCUGAUCGUAAUAUCAGUUCUCUCUCACACCGUUGGGGUAUCAUUUAAGGAAGUGUUAGCAAAUUUUGUUCAUGGUACAAUCAAGUACUCCGUUCAAAGCGAUGUCACACAUCAAGACAGGAUUCAACAAGCAUGUGUGCUGUACAAGGAUGCAGACUCAGAUAAGAGGUCAUUUGGUUUACUGCACUGUUGGAACCUCUGCAGCAUGCCCAGAAGUGGAAGGACCUCCAUUGCAACAGCAACAACAAAAAACAGAAGAAAUCUACUACAACAAGUCCAAGGUCAGCUACUCCUGGAACACAUGAAAGUCACCGUGUUGAUGAAGAGGACGGUCCAAGUCAUACUUCACCAAGGAAAGGUAUGUAGGCCAGAGGGUCAGAAGGAGGAGAAAGAAAGGCAAGGUAAAAAUCGUAUAGCUCAUGGUGAUCAAUUUGAGACUAUGGGUCUUGUCUGUUAUGUAUGAACAAUUUUUAUUAUUUACCUUGUUAUGUAUGAACAAUUUAUGGUCUGUAGGAGGACAAUUUUUGUUAAUUUGUGGUAUGUAUCUGGCAAUGUUUACCUAAACGGUAAACGCUAGACGGUCGGUGUGGAUCCGUGUAGCGUGUAGACCGUGUACAUGCCGUGUACACUGUAUUACACGGAUUACACGUUUUGUACCAUAUUGACAAAUAUAAGUACAGUAACAUGUAUAUAUGCUUAAAACUAACAACAAUAAUGACAAGUUAAAAAAUAAUUUCAAGUGAGAA